UUCCCUCUGAAAUCAUUGAAGGUAACACCUGCUCAAUGAAUAUUUAAAUAGCCGCGGAAAUUAACUGUGCUAAGGUAGCAUAAUCAUUAGCCUCUUAAUUAGGGGCUAGUAUGAAUGGUGAUACAUUUCAAUUACUCUUUUAAUUACUUUACUCGAACCUCAACUAAGAAUAAAAAUGUUCUUAUUUAAUAAAUAGACGACAAGACCCUUUUGAACUUUACUGCUGUUUAGCUGGGGCAGCUAAAAAAUAAUAAUCUUUUUAUUUAUUGUUCAUUAGACGACCCAAUUUUAUUGAUUACUCGAUCAAGUUACCAUAGGGAUAACAGCGUAAUAUCUUUUAAAAGCUCUUAUUUAAAAAGAAGUUUGCGACCUCGAUGUUGAAUUAGCGUAACUUUAUUGAUGCAAAAAUCUUACAAGUGGGUCUGUUCGACCCAUAAAACGCUACAU
rnacentral:rRNA from 1 species